rnacentral:rRNA from 1 species
UAUGGAGGGUGCAAGCGUUAUCCGGAUUCACUGGGUUUAAAGGGUGCGUAGGAGGGCAGGUAAGUCAGUGGUGAAAUCUCCGAGCUUAACUCGGAAACUGCCGUUGAUACUAUCUGUCUUGAAUACCGUGGAGGUGAGCGGAAUAUGUCAUGUAGCGGUGAAAUGCUUAGAUAUGACAUAGAACACCAAUUGCGAAGGCAGCUCACUACACGAGCAUUGACUCUGAGGCACGAAAGCGUGGGGAUCAAACAGG